rnacentral:rRNA from 1 species
AUGAACGCUGGCGGCGUGCUUAACACCUGCAAGUCGAACGGAAAGGCCCAAGCUUGCUUGGGUACUCGAGUGGCGAACGGGUGAGUAACACGUGGGUGAUCUGCCCUGCACUUCGGGAUAAGCCUGGGAAACUGGGUCUAAUACCGGAUAGGACCACUUCUUGGAUGUUGUGGUGGAAAGUUUUUUCGGUGUGGGAUGAGCUCGCGGCCUAUCAGCUUGUUGGUGGGGUAAUGGCCUACCAAGGCGUCGACGGGUAGCCGGCCUGAGAGGGUGUACGGCCACAUUGGGACUGAGAUACGGCCCAGACUCCUACGGGAGGCAGCAGUGGGGAAUAUUGCACAAUGGGCGCAAGCCUGAUGCAGCGACGCCGCGUGGGGGAUGACGGCCUUCGGGUUGUAAACGCCUUUCGCUAGGGACGAAGCGUUUUGUGACGGUACCUGGAGAAGAAGCACCGGCUAACUACGUG